GGGAAAACGUGUGAUAAUCCGACGGCCUCCGGAGCCGUGUGCGCAGGUUCGAAUCCUGCCGGGG
rnacentral:tRNA from 1 species